CAGGCUUGCCAACUUUCAGAUUUUUGGCUCACGCCGACUUUUUUUAACAUCUAGGGCAAUGCAUCUCACACGAAACAUGCCACAUGAAAGUUGGCAACUCUGACGUGGACUAACCAAAGAUGGAGCUAAGCCAAAUGCCGUAAAUUAACAGAUUUAUUUGUUAAUGUCAGUAACGGCAGCAGCACAAUGGGGAAUGUUAACAUGGCGGUGCCCGAGUCUAGCGACACCACCUCCACUUCAAUUUUGAAACUGAAGCGGUAAAGCACUGCAAUAGCAACGGAAUAGGAGUAAUGGGUUUAUUGAAAUAAGUGGCACAGAGAGGACUGCUUUUACUACCCACCUUGCUGCCUGCCGGUGUCCUGGGUGUCUUUCUAAGAGCAGCACCUGUUCUCCUUAUUAGAAGUCUCUUAACAACCUGCACAUUUUCUGGAUAGUGAAACAGAGGGAUCCAUUUGUCUGGAAUGAGGAAAACAAGGCACGGAGUGCUGCAGCCUGUUGAACAGGCCCCGCGGUGCUUCCAGCUCAAUAAAGG